AAAUGUGUCCUUACGACUGAAAAACUUCAGGCCAUCAGAUAUAGGAAAUUACCAUUGUCAGGUCAGCGGCAAAGACCGAAGAGAGAGGAUAACAGUAAGAGUGAGGAUAAAUCCUAGUGUCCAGUCUAUGAGUCAGUCACCAAUAUUUCCAGAUGGAAAUGAGG